rnacentral:rRNA from 1 species
GUGGGGAAUAUUGGGCAAUGGGGGAAACCCUGACCCAGCGACGCCGCGUGAGGGAAGACGGCCUUCGGGUUGUAAACCUCUUUUGUACGGGAAGAAGGAAGUGACGGUACUGUACGAAUAAGUCCCGGCUAACUACGUGUCAGCAGCCGCGGUAAUACGUAGGGGACGAGCGUUGUCCGGAAUUACUGGGCGUAAAGGGCGCGCAGGCUGUGCUGCAAGUCAGCUGUGAAAUGUCUGGGCUUAACCCGGGCAUGCGGUUGAGACUGCAGUGCUGGAGUGCUGUAGAGGCAAGUGGAAUUCCCAGUGUAGCGGUGAAAUGCGUAGAUAUUGGGAAGAACACCGGUGGCGAAGGCGACUUGCUGGGCAGCAACUGACGCUGAGGCGCGAAAGCCAGGGGAGCAAACGGGAUUAGAAACCCCGGUAGUCC